AACGAACGCUGGCGGCAUGCCUAACACAUGCAAGUCGAACGAGACCUUCGGGUCUAGUGGCGCACGGGUGCGUAACGCGUGGGAACCUGCCCUUAGGUUCGGAAUAACUCCCCGAAAGGGGUGCUAAUACCGGAUAAUGUCUUCGGACCAAAGGUUUAUCGCCUUUGGAUGGGCCCGCGUUGUAUUAGCUAGUUGGUAGGGUAAAAGCCUACCAAGGCGACGAUCCAUAGCUGGUCUGUGAGGAUGAUCAGCCACACUGGGACUGAGACACGGCCCAGACUCCUACCGGAGGGCGCAGUGGGGAAUAUUGGACAAUGGGCGAAAGCCUGAUCCAGUAAAGCCGCGUGAGUGAUGAAAGCCUUAGGGUUGUUAAGCUCUUUUACCCGGGAUGAUAAUGACAGUACCGGGAGAAUAAGCUCCGGCUAACUCCGUG
rnacentral:rRNA from 1 species